rnacentral:rRNA from 1 species
GACAGAGGGUGCAAACGUUGUUCGGAAUUACUGGGCGUAAAGCGCGUGUAGGCGGCUGCGCAAGUCGGAUGUGAAAUCCCAUGGCUCAACCAUGGAAGUGCACCCGAAACUGCGCAGCUUGAGUCUCGGAGAGGAAGGCGGAAUGCUUGGUGUAGAGGUGAAAUUCGUAGAUAUCAAGCGGAACACCGGUGGCGAAGGCGGCCUUCUGGACGAUGACUGACGCUGAGACGCGAAAGCGUGGGGAGCAAACAGG